UAGACCUUAAUAUAAAACUAGUAUACUUUAUUUGCAAUAAAGAAGUAGGUCCUCCUAGGUCUUA
rnacentral:tRNA from 1 species